ACAGGUCUAGCUUGCUAGAUGCUGACGAGCGGCGGACGGGUGAGUAAUGCAUAGGAAUCUGCCCGAUAGUGGGGGAUAACCUGGGGAAACCCAGGCUAAUACCGCAUACGUCCUACGGGAGAAAGGGGGCUCCGGCUCCCGCUAUCGGAUGAGCCUAUGUCGGAUUAGCUGGUUGGUGAGGUAAAGGCUCACCAAGGCGACGAUCCGUAGCUGGUCUGAGAGGAUGAUCAGCCACAUCGGGACUGAGACACGGCCCGAACUCCUACGGGAGGCAGCAGUGGGGAAUAUUGGACAAUGGGCGAAAGCCUGAUCCAGCCAUGCCGCGUGUGUGAAGAAGGCCCUCGGGUUGUAAAGCACUUUCAGCGAGGAAGAACGCCUAGCGGUUAAUACCCGCUAGGAAAGACAUCACUCGCAGAAGAAGCACCGGCUAACUCCGUGCCAGCAGCCGCGGUAAU
rnacentral:rRNA from 1 species